UUCCUGCUUGCUUCCUUUACUUUUUCAGACAUCAUGAUCAAUUUCUCUGUUUGAAUAUCUAUCUCUCAUGUGACUAUGCGAGCACCUGAAACUAGAAGAAGCCCAUACAAAAUCGUGGGGAGGUCUGCAAUUCUUCAGAAUCUCCUUCUAUUGGCCUGUUCCAAGAAGAGCAUUGAUCUGGUGCAUUUAUAUAGGAAGUGCAAUGGUUUCGCAGAUGAGAUUUGAAACUUAUAUUUUUAAGGCUGUCCUUUGCAACAAUGAUUGUGGCAGACGGAGUCUAGGUAAGCGUUGUACAGGAUUGCUGAUGUCUAUCACAUACAGAUUGACAGCCUUCACAAAAUGAAGUUUAUGUGCAACGAUUUAAUUUGGCACGCAGAGAACUUCAAACAAUUUAUAGUACUUUCCACACUCUUAGACAAUGUUGUGGCUUUCUCAGCUUUACUACCAGCAAUUUCAGCUAAACAUUAUUCUUUGUUCUGUUUUUUUAGUUUAUAUAUUAUUUUCAAGGAUGCUGCAUCAUUCAAUAUGUUUUCCAGUUGACAUGUAUUUCUUUGCAUGUUCAUUGGGUGCUUCCAACAAUAAUAUCUUGUAAAUAGCUCCGUGAGAUUCAAGCGAACCAACUAAAUCGGAGGUGGCUGCAGCAAACCAACUAAAUCUUCCUUUGCACUCAAGUCUUCCGGUAAGUAUUCUAAUCUUAUCAUUCUUCAAGACUAUAAACAGCUGUAAUUCCCCCUUUUUUUCCCAAGAAUUCUAGCAUAAAUUUCCUAAGCUCUAUUGUUGCUGGAGCCAGGAGGUAGGCUCUGAGAGCAUGUAUUGUUUGCUUUUGUUCAAGAUUGGACUUCCAAGAGCAAUUGAAAAAGUGGCCACAGUUGGACCUCAGUUUUAGCUUUGAAAUUUGAUUAAAAUGAAAGCAUUUCCUUUAGGCAAAUUGAGACUCUUCAUUUGCUCCACGACAGAAUUGAGGUUGGGAAAUUUCGGAGAAAGAGUACCUUUAAAUGAAUAUUAACAGUGGCAGCAUUUCACAGCUCACCAGGUUUGGUGUCUUAUCCACAGAUCACUAGAAAUUUUUUGUUCAAGCAAUCCAGUAAUAUAACAUCGCAAGAGAUUGCAAGGAACAAAUCUACCUGACUUCAGGUUAGUCCUAGGUGCCAAUGCCAUCCUCUAAUUUUCUUACAGAUGCAUACAAGUGCAAUUUUGUUGUCGAAUUUUCAAGGCCAGAGCAGUAGUUCCAAUGAGAACUAUGUGGGCUUGCUAGUCAUGGAAUGCAUAAAAUCCAUACAAAUGGAUCAUGCAACUAAAUGGGGUUAGCUCAUUUGCUUCAAACCAUUGCUCUGGUUUGUCAUUAUCUAACAAAUAGAGAAGCAUUUAUGAACAAUUCCUUCAUUGCUAAAAGAAUUUCUUCUUCUGUUUUACUAACCAAUAUUUUGGUGCUUGAUAAUGCCAAGUUAUAUCCCAUUGAAUACUUAUCAAAACAAUUAUUUCCCACUAAACAUAAUUCUUUUUUUAUUUAUUUUCAUAACAUGACUGUAAAAAUCCACCAUCCAGAAUGGAUAUAUCACAAGCAGAAAAUGAAAUGGUGGAUUUUAUUUUACUUAUGUAAUUAAAGUGGGGUCAAGGAAUGAAAUUCAGUAUAUUUCAUAUGACUCAGUUUAAAUCCAAUUUACAUAAUCAGAUGAAACAAACACACCUGCAAGUGGAUAUGGGCUUAAUAAGAUACACUCUUCAAGAUUUUGGAAUUGGUGGUGAACUUGAAGAUGUGAAGUCCUGAGGACAGGUUGCUACUUUUGGUUUUCAUCUUUCUAAUUUCAGACAGCUCAAAGGAUCACAAAUCACUACUCUAGCUUUGGUUGCUAUUGUCACCAGUAGGAGCUACUGAACUCUCUGUUUUACAUGAAGAAUAUUAUAAAGUCCUAUGUUGAGACAAUGUUGCCUGAAAGAGAGAGGAAAAGCUGGUUGCUGUGCCAUUCUUGAGGCACUCAUGUCAAUACCAGUAUUAUGUGAUCUCCAACUGGAAGAAGGUGCUAUGUGAUUGCAGAUUUUGAGACGCAAUAUGUGCAACAUGUUCAAGGCUUCUACAAAUGGUAUACUCGGCAAUUGGGUCACAUAAUUCUAUUUACCGCCUGAUUGAAGAUUUGUGAUGGUUGCUACAAGCCAAGUUUACAACCCGCAAUAAAAACUUACAAAGAGCAAAAUUUACAUCAACUGAGUUGCAAUGAUGAAUGUCCUGUUAGCAUGUU